UACGUAGGGUGCAAGCGUUGUCCGGAAUUAUUGGGCGUAAAGAGCUCGUAGGCGGUCUGUUGCGUCGGCUGUGAAAACCCGGGGCUCAACUCCGGGCCUGCAGCCGAUACGGGCAGACUAGAGUUCGGCAGGGGAGACUGGAAUUCCCGGUGUAGCGGUGAAAUGCGCAGAUAUCGGGAGGAACACCCGUAGCGAAGGCGGCACUCUGGGCCGUGACUGACGCUGAGGAGCGAAAGCGUGGGGAGCAAACAGG
rnacentral:rRNA from 1 species